GACGAACGCUGGCGGCGUGCUUAACACAUGCAAGUCGAGCGGUAAGGCCCUUUCGGGGGUACACGAGCGGCGAACGGGUGAGUAACACGUGGGUGACCUGCCCUUAGCUCUGGGAUAAGCCUGGGAAACUGGGUCUAAUACCGGAUAUGACUCCAUGACGCAUGUUGUGGGGUGGAAAGCCUUGUGCGGCUAGGGAUGGGCCCGCGGCCUAUCAGCUUGUUGGUGGGGUGAUGGCCUACCAAGGCGACGACGGGUAGCCGGCCUGAGAGGGCGACCGGCCACACUGGGACUGAGACACGGCCCAGACUCCUACGGGAGGGCAGCAGUGGGGAAUCUUGCGCAAUGGGCGAAAGCCUGACGCAGCGACGCCGCGUGAGGGAUGACGGCCU
rnacentral:rRNA from 1 species